rnacentral:rRNA from 1 species
AUUGAACGCUGGCGGCAUGCCUUACACAUGCAAGUCGAACGGUAACGCGGGGCAACCUGGCGACGAGUGGCGAACGGGUGAGUAAUGCAUCGGAACGUGCCCAGUAGUGGGGGAUAGCCCGGCGAAAGCCGGAUUAAUACCGCAUACGACCUACGGGUGAAAGCGGGGGACCGUAAGGCCUCGCGCUGUUGGAGCGGCCGAUGUCAGAUUAGGUAGUUGGUGGGGUAAAGGCCUACCAAGCCUUCGAUCUGUAGCUGGUCUGAGAGGACGACCAGCCACACUGGGACUGAGACACGGCCCAGACUCCUACGGGAGGCAGCAGUGGGGAAUUUUGGACAAUGGGCGCAAGCCUGAUCCAGCCAUGCCGCGUGCGGGAAGAAGGCCUCGGUUGUAA